GAAACUUAGCACAUGAAAUUUGAAGGUUAUUUGUUUAAAUUCGGAUUUAGCAUUCUUGAGUUGUUAAAUUUUAUUGUUCAAAGAGUUUUGUCUCUAAAUUAAUUAGAUUGAUCGCCUACCUAAUUUAGGACAUUUCGUAUAAUUAUCUAAGAGUAAUUGAGUAAUCGAAUUUCUGAAUUAAACUUAGAGUCAGUGAUAAUAAAUUAGCAUGCCGCUAA
rnacentral:lncRNA from 1 species